rnacentral:lncRNA from 1 species
UGGUUAUGCUUUCGAAAACUUCUUAAUAAAAUUUCAGAGACACUGAAGUAUAUUUGUUAUUCUACUCUAUAUAAUAUAUAUUUGAUUUGAAGAUCUCUAAUGUAUACAUCAAAUGAUUAAAAAAUAUAUUUAAUUUAAUUUUAUAUAAAUUAUUUGAUUUUUGAUUACUUGAUGUAUAGAUUAGAGAUCUUCAAAUCACAUAAUUUUUUGUGUACAAAUAAUUUUAUAAUAAU